rnacentral:rRNA from 1 species
CCCGCACAAGCGGUGGAGCAUGUGGUUUAAUUCGACGCAACGCGAAGAACCUUUACCAGGGCUUGACAUCUACAGAAUCUUGAGGAAACUCAGGAGUGCCCUUCGGGGAACUGUAAGACAGGUGGUGCAUGGUUGUCGUCAGCUCGUGUCGUGAGAUGUUGGGUUAAGUCCCGCAACGAGCGCAACCCCUAUGUUUAGUUGCUAGCGAGUAAAGUCGAGCACUCUAGACAGACUGCCGGUGAUAAACCGGAGGAAGGUGGGGAUGACGUCAAAUCAUCAUGCCCCUUAUGUUCUGGGCUACACACGUGCUACAAUGGCCGGUACAAACGGAAGCGAAGCCGCGAGGUGAAGCAAAUCUGAUAAAACCGGUCUCAGUUCGGAUUGCAGGCUGCAACUCGCCUGCAUGAAGUCGGAAUCGCUAGUAAUCGCGGAUCAGCAUGUCGCGGUGAAUACGUUCCCGGGCCUU